rnacentral:rRNA from 1 species
GACGAACGCUGGCGGCGUGCCUAAUACAUGCAAGUUGAGCGCUGAAGGUUGGUACUUGUACCAACUGGAUGAGCAGCGAACGGGUGAGUAACGCGUGGGGAAUCUGCUUUUGAGCGGGGGACAACAUUUGGAAACGAAUGCUAAUACCGCAUAAAAACUUUAAACACAAGUUUUAAGUUUGAAAGAUGCAAUUGCAUCACUCAAAGAUGAUCCCGCGUUGUAUUAGCUAGUUGGUGAGGUAAAGGCUCACCAAGGCGAUGAUACAUAGCCGACCUGAGAGGGUGAUCGGCCACAUUGGGACUGAGACACGGCCCAAACUCCUACGGGAGGCAGCAGUAGGGAAUCUUCGGCAAUGGACGAAAGUCUGACCGAGCAACGCCGCGUGAGUGAAGAAGGUUUUCGGAUCGUAAAACUCUGUUGGUAGAGAAGAACGUUGGUGAGAGUGGAAAGCUCAUCAAGUGACGGUAACUACACAGAAAGAGACGGCUAACUACGUG